ensembl:lncRNA
GUGGUGCUGGGGGAGUAGAGACAAGCCUGAGGGACGACGGCUGCCGGAGGGGUGGAGAUGGGAAUGUUUGCGGGGACAGUUUCCCAGGGUUUACCACAAGGGAAAAUUGCUUGUCUUCCCAUUUAAGCAACUCAAUCCCAGCUGGUGUCCCUGGGAGCUCAAGGGAAGGCGCUGAAGAGAGAAAUCUUCCUGCCAGCUUCCUCCAGGAAUGUUUCCCCUGGCGUGAUGUGGGCGCUGGGAAGCGUCUGUUUGGCUCCCUGCUCCCAGGGGACAGGCAUUACUUCCGUUGAGUGUCAGAUAAUUGUCAAGUCCUCACCAAGGAUGAUACUGCUGCUGCUGUGAAACCGUCAAAGGUCUACUGCCUGCUUGGGGUCUGUUGUGAUUCUGGAGCUGUUGAAACACGACAGCAGGUGACCCUCGCUCACCCACGAGAAGAUUAAAUGAAUUGAAGAAAAGACUUGAUCCAGAUGAGCUGACACCGUUUCCUUCUUUUGCGUGUUUGGCUUCCUUCUAGAAUCCCGGGGAAUUUGCUAUCAGCUUCUGUAGCUGCACUGCUUCACAAGGACGGAUGCAGCGGUGCUAAGCGCUAGUGUCGUGAAAUGGUUUCUUCUCAAGGGGUUUUGGGAACACCUGUGGUAAGGGGUGUCUUCGGUCUGGAGGAGUUAGACUGUAUCACCUCACCUCUGCUUUGAGCCACGUGGACAGUAAGAGCUUUGCAAUCUCUUACAAAGGGAAAGGCUGGUGAUCGUAGCAUCUUUGAUUACAGGUUCAUAGGAAAAAAUACUGUGAAAGUUGUCUUUAUUGAGUGUGGUUUUAUCACUGUGGGAGUGACUUCCACUUCACUCCUGGCCGUUUAUAAGGACCAGUACAGACUCAGCUUUCUGCUAGGCAGUCUGCUUGCUGCAUUCAAGAUCCCUCACUGCCAGGUGAACGGCUGGGAAAAUCCUUGCUGUUGUUUCGAUGACGCAGAGAGCAUACCUCUGUCGGGGUGGUCUUCCUUGCCUGUUUUAAACUUCCUUGCACGUGUAAGCAGAGCGCUGUGCGACCUUGCUCAGUUUCAACAAGGGUCAGCGUUUCUUAAUUGGUCUCCAGAUAUCUUGCGGGUCCUGUGUUCUGUUCACCCUGCUGGCUUUUGCAGGCAGCAUUUAUGUUAGGUCCUUUCCCAUUGCUUUCUAGAAGGUGUAAUGAUUGUGCAGGCCUUUUCUUGGGUCAUUAAACAUGUCAAGUUGGUUUAGCCAAGUGGCCCUGAGUAAUGAACUCUGCAUACAAGAUACUCUCUUAACAACGUUGUCUAAGAAAGUCUUUCAUUUUGCAAAAAUUACUCUGAACCCACAUAACCCUAAAUUCACUGCACCAAGGAACAGGAAUGCAAAACUAUCAAGCCUACUGAUGGUUCACCGCACACAUCACAGUAAUAGUAAGCAAUAAACGUCUGCAGAGUCAGCGGGUACAAGGGGGGUUGCCAUUUUGUCUCAUUUCCUGACUUAUUCUUUCAGUAGUUGUCAGGAGAGUAUACAAAAGUCUUUUUGGUCAUCACGGGCCAAAUGUAAUAGACUGUGCAUAGAUCCUCCUGCUGGGGUAGAUGAUGCCUCGGUGAGGACAUAAAUGACAAAGGAGCACAGCAAUGAUGUAAAGAAUUAGAGUUAUAUGGAGAUCCGGAUGAACACUGUCUUUUGAAAAGCUUUUUAAAUUCUCCUCAUCAAAAACCUUAGACACAGUUUAUAGAAAAAGAAUGGGUUUCAAGAAUAGCAGAAAGAAAUGACAGAUGAUUACUGAGGAAAUUAAUUGGUCCUGAUGGAAAACGUAUGCCUUCUUGGUUUCGCAGUUUGGGUGGGCCCAUGAGCUUGGUGCUGCACGCACUGUGUGAAGCAAAGGAAACUGAGGUUUGUGCAGUCAGAUUUAGUCGUGCCCAGGGUUGGGGAGUUG